rnacentral:rRNA from 1 species
UACGAAGGGGGCUAGCGUUGCUCGGAAUCACUGGGCGUAAAGGGUGCGUAGGCGGGUCUUUUAAGUCAGGGGUGAAAUCCUGGAGCUCAACUCCAGAACUGCCUCUGAUACUGAAGAUCUUGAGUCCGGGAGAGGUGAGUGGAACUGCGAGUGUAGAGGUGAAAUUCGUAGAUAUUCGCAAGAACACCAGUGGCGAAGGCGGCUCACUGGCCCGGUACUGACGCUGAGGCACGAAAGCGUGGGGGAGCAAACAGG